CGUACCCACANUUACUUGGAUAACUGUGGUAAUUCUAGAGCUAAUACAUGCAAACAGAGCUCCGACCGGAGACGGGAGGAGUGCUUUUAUUAGAUCAAAACCAAUCGGCGGCGGGCGCGNUCGCGCGUCCGUUCGCCGCUCAACCUGGUGACUCUGAAUAACUUUCGGCUGAUCGCACGGUCUCGCACCGGCGACGCAUCUUUCAAAUGUCUGCCUUAUCAACUGUCGAUGGUAGGUUCUGCGCCUACCAUGGUCGUAACGGGUAACGGGGAAUCAGGGUUCGAUUCCGGAGAGGGAGCCUGAGAAACGGCUACCACAUCCAAGGAAGGCAGCAGGCGCGCAAAUUACCCACUCCCGGCACGGGGAGGUAGUGACGAAAAAUAACGAUACGGGACUCAUCCGAGGCCCCGUAAUCGGAAUGAGUACACUUUAAAUCCUUUAACGAGGAUCAUUGGAAGG
rnacentral:rRNA from 1 species